GGACGGGUGAGUAAUGUCUGGGAAACUGCCUGAUGGAGGGGGAUAACUACUGGAAACGGUAGCUAAUACCGCAUAACGUCGCAAGACCAAAGAGGGGGACCUUCGGGCCUCUUGCCAUCAGAUGUGCCCAGAUGGGAUUAGCUAGUAGGUGGGGUAACGGCUCACCUAGGCGACAAUCCCUAGCUGGUCUGAGAGGAUGACCAGCCACACUGGAACUGAGACACGGUCCAGACUCCUACGGGAGGCAGCAUG
rnacentral:rRNA from 1 species